GCACUGGUGUUUCAGUGGUAGAAUUCUCGCUUUCCAUGCAAGAGACCCAGGUUCCAUUCCUGGCCAAUGUA
rnacentral:tRNA from 1 species